GUCUACGGCCAUACCACCCUGAACGCGCCCGAUCUCGUCUGAUCUCGGAAGCUAAGCAGGGUCGGGCCUGGUUAGUACUUGGAUGGGAGACAAUUAAAAAAUGGUCUUCAGAGAAU
rnacentral:rRNA from 1 species